GGAUAAUGGAUUAGGCCCGAGCGCAGGGGGUAUGGAUAGUGAAACGUAGCGCAUUGCAGAAUUGCCUUGGGCCUUAUCCAAUCCACUACACUACUAUAAGCAGGUAAAUGAAAAAACAGAAAGAAAAGCUUAUUCACGCCAGCCAAACACGCUUAUUCACAAGCGGAAAAGCGCUUCCAAGCGACAAGCAUCGCUUCUCUCCAUGCUCUGUGGAAAGCAUAAUUCAGCGCUCAGGUCUCAUACGGAGACUCUACAUGAGCUUCGCGAACAACUACGCAGCGGUGACAACACAGCUCCAUCAGGUUAUGGCUUAUACAUCUACGAUCCAAUACAUCAUCGUGGCAAAUGAGUCGAAGCAUGAGCAUAUGGAUUGAGAGCUACCUAUCGAAGAUGACGACGGAGACGGAGACGAUGAUGACGAAGACCACGGGUAUACUUCCGAUCCACUUCUGAGUGCCUCUCUUCCUCUUCUCUUAACGCUGAAACGUUCCUUCCGUAUCCAAAGCGAGUGAGUGAUUGAGACCGUCGAACCUUGAAGCUUCUGGUGGUGGUUUUAGCUUUGUCGUGUAGAGCUUCGAGUGAUGAAGCUCCCACAACAAUGGAAGUGAGCGUCUACUGAAGGUGGGGAGUGAUUGCAAGAUGCUUUUCGAAUGAGGAAAAAAAUUCUGAACCCUAAUGAUUGGCAAUGAUUGCCCCUUAUAUAGCGUGAUCCAAGAGGGCAAUUUGGAGACAUGGAUCUGAGGUUAAAUCUGAUUCGUCCUGCUGGCAUUUAAGUGAAGGACAUGGUUGCUGAAUUGGUGCUGCUCAUUCCCUCUACUGUGAACUACCUCAAUGCAUUGCAAAGCUUGUGAUUUCCAUAACUUCGAGUGAGCUAGUUACGGGGCUAUGCUUUAGUGAGUUCCUGAUAAACCAACUGUGUAAUCAUUUCCUCAGGGUCUGCACUGUAGCUCACCCUUGAAGCAUGACAUUUUUGGAUGCACUAGCUUCUGCAUGGCAUUGCAGCAGGCCUGAACAUGGGAAUUUUUGAUUGGCGACUUAAUGAUGCAACUGAUGUGAUACACACAGACUUUGAGUUGGUUCUCCUCAUGGUUUCACAGGUUCAUGGCAAAAGUGCAACUUGGUUAUGUGCAUUCAGCAAGUAUAAUGCCUUGUUUCCUUUUUUAUGUGCAGUAGGUGUGACAUUAAUGAGGAUUAGAUGGUCAGCUGCUAGCUUUGGGAAGGUUGAAUUGCAGGUUUGUAUUGGUACGCUUCUACCAUUGAUUGUGAUGUUUCUGCAACCUUCAUAUGUUGGUUCACUUAUUGGAAAUGUCUUAGAAUGCUUCCCUUUCCAUGUUUGGGUUGAAUGAUUUACUAGGAUCUUGUGCAAGUCAUGUGAUGAUCCUACAUCUGUGAGUGGACCGCUUGGUUAGGCUGCAUUACAACAAGGUUUUGCUUGGUGUUUUGCGACAUCUCAUGGCGUGUUUGAGGUGGUUCAGGUGCAGGUCUGUAGCAGGUUAAUCUGGUUGUUCUGCAGUGGAACUAUUGUCACAUGGCUAGGUCUGCUGCCAUUGCUUUAUGUAAUGUUGUCUGCUGCAAGUGUUAUGCAGUUUUGAUAAAAUUCGUGCAGCAUAUUUUGCCUUAGACUGUUGAAGGAUUGUGGUUGUUGGCUUCUUGACCUGUUUUGCAUUACGGGUCUUGUUAUGUGUACUGGUCUACUGGCUUGGUGCAGGUUAGCACUCUUGGCCAAUCUCCAUGAUCUUGUUGCAGCUCUGUAGUGUUGUUAUGGUGGUCAUUGAAAUUCAACCACAUGAUGCACUUGGUGGUGUGAUAGAUGCAGGUGCCUGUACGCUGUAGAAACCCCACGGUCUUGCAAGCUGCCAGCAGGUGUGUCCCUGCUGAACUGAUCCUGUUGCAGGAUUCAUAAGCUACUCCCAACCAUCAAGUGAAGAACAUGUCCGGAAAAGAUGAUCAAUGAGUUGCUGCAAGGCCUUACGACGUGCUCUUUUAGUUUAUCAACAGCAUGACCAAGUUUCUUUGAAUUUCUUACUAGGCACUUCAUCCGACAUUGGCUCAGAAUUGGCAAAAGCAUCAACGAUUGGCUUCAAUAACUUAAGCAUCUCUUAUGCCUUAUGAUGGCUGCGAAAUAGAGGAUAUGUUGUCAACAAGAAUUUUCAAACAACGAUAUCUUCACAACGCUUCGCAAGUCUUGAAGAUUCUACAACUAGCUUCUCAAAGAUGUCAUUGACGACACUGUUCAUGAUACCCGUGGCCUUGCUUAUUGCAGGGUAGUUAGCAAAUGUGAUUGUUGGAAGUUAGGAAGAUUUAAUUUAGUAAAUAUGAUGAGAUGGUUAUGUGAUAACAAGACUGUUAGUUAUGUAAUAUGAAUGUAAUGGGUAAUGUGAACAUAAUGCGUAAUGAUAAAAUGGUUAUGUAAUAAAGUGGAAUUGAUCCAUGUUUGUUUGUGAUAACAUAAAAGUGUAUGAAUGAUUCUCAUGUUAUGAAUUCUUGAGAGUAUGGUUA